AUCUAGCUGACGAGUCUUAAAUAGGACGAAGCAGCAUGUUUCCUAGAU
rfam:Schistosoma haematobium C9846335_1, whole genome shotgun sequence.